rnacentral:rRNA from 1 species
CCUACGGGAGGCAGCAGUAGGGAAUAUUGCUCAAUGGGGGAAACCCUGAAGCAGCAAAGCCGCGUGGAGGAUGAAGGUUUUAGGAUUGUAAACUCCUUUUGUUAGAGAAGAUAAUGACGGUAUCUAAAGAAUAAGCACCGGCUAACUCCGUGCAAGCAGCCGCGGUAAUACGGAGGGUGCAAGCGUUACUCGGAAUCACUGGGCUUAAAGAGCGCGUAGGCGGGAUAGCAAGUCAGAUGUGAAAUACUCGGGCUUAACCAUAGAAGUGCAUUUGAAACUGUUAUUCUAGAGUAUGCGAGAGGUAGGUGGAAUUCGUGGUGUAGGGGUAAAAUCCGUAGAUAUCAAGAGGAAUACUCAUUGCGAAGGCGACCUGCUAGAACAUAACUGACGCUGAUGCGCGAAAGCGUGGGUAGCAAACAGGAUUAGAUACCCGGGUAGUC